AAAUUAUAGAGAGAGAGACAGAGAUAAAGGGGGUCCUCAAAGAUUAUGCCCCAAAGCCAAAGCCGAAGCCAAAGCCAAAGCCAAAGCCCAAAGCCUUUACUUUGAUUUGCAGAGAGAAUCCAAAGGAUUUCUCUUUCUCUUACAAGAACGCGAAGAACUGAAAACUGCAGUUCUCUCUCUCUCUCUCUCUCUCUCUCUCUCUCUAUCUUUCAUAUAUUAGCAUAAAUACACACAGAAAAAGAAAAAGGGGAAACAAAAAAAAGAAACAGAAAGGAAAGACACACAAAGAACAGAGAUUUACAUACAUGCAUAGAUACCUAUAAAGGGGAAGAGAAAGAAAGGAUUGUUAUAUUGAGGUAGUUUCAAUCAGUUGAGUCCCCCCUUUUCUUUCUUCUCAUCCGAGAAAAUAUUGAACAGUGGUUUUCUAGAGAUAAACAAGGAUUUGGAUUAGUUUCAUCACAGAAACCGGUGCUCCUUUGGGGUUUGGAUCCAGAAGACAUGUUGGAAGACCGGGCUUGUUUGGUUUCAAGGGAUUAUUCGAGGACCUGUGAUCGAGAAGGAAAUUGGCCUUGCAUGAAUUACAGGCUGGAAAAAUCUGAGGUUCAACAGAGCAAGCGACGGUUGGAGGAAACAAAUGGAGGGGAAGAAGUUAUUGUCAGGAAGGUGUCUAAGCGCUCAGGCAAUCAAAUAGAUACUGCUUUAUCAGUUGGUGGAUUUUUGAUGUCCUUUUCCAGCCAAUCUGACCAAUCCAAUCGUCAGCGGCGUGAAGGUGAUGAUUCUGAUUCUAGUUCAUUGAUUGCUGCCAUUGGUCGCGACAACUCCAUUAGUUGUCUCAUUAAGUGCUCGAGGGCUGAUUAUGGUGCAAUUGCUUCCUUGAACCGGAGCUUUCGUUCCCUUAUUAGAAGUGGUGAGCUAUAUAAAUUGAGGAGGCAAAAUGGUGUGGUAGAGCAUUGGGUUUAUUUUUCCUGCCAGCUGCUCGAAUGGGAAGCCUUUGACCCUAGUCGUCGCCAUUGGAUGCACUUACCGAGAAUGAAUCCUAAUGAAUGUUUUGUGUUUGCAGAUAAGGAAUCUUUGGCCGUUGGAACUGAGCUUCUUGUUUUCGGGAAGGCUCUCAUGUCCCAUGUGAUUUAUCGUUACAGUUUGUUGACAAACACGUGGACUUCCGGAAUGAGCAUGAAUUCACCUAGAUGUUUGUUUGGUUCUGCAAGCCUCGGGGAAAUCGCCAUACUGGCUGGCGGUUGCGACUCACAUGGUAAUAUCCUUAGUUCCGCUGAGCUAUACAAUUCAGAGGAGGGCACGUGGAUGACACUCCCAAGCAUGAAAAAACCAAGGAAGAUGUGUUCCGGGGUGUUCAUGGACGGAAACUUUUAUGUAAUUGGAGGAAUUGGAGGAGCUGAUGGAAAGCUUCUAACCUGUGCAGAGGAAUAUAACUUGGAAACUCAAACUUGGACUGAAAUCCCUAACAUGUCCCCAGUGCGGACUGGUGCAGCAAGGGACAAUGAACCACCCGCUGCAUCUGAAGCACCACCAUUGAUUGCUGUUGUAAAUAAUCAAUUAUAUGCUGCAGAUUAUGCUGAUAUGGAGGUCAGAAAGUAUGACAAAGACAAUAGGGUGUGGGUUACGGUAGGAAGAUUGCCAGAACGGGCUGAUUCUAUGUAUGGUUGGGGUUUAGCAUUUAGAGGAUGUGGUGAUCGGCUUAUUGUGAUUGGGGGGCCUCGAAACGCGGGCGAAGGAUUUAUUGAAGUGAAUUCUUGGGUUCCCAGUGAAGGUCCUCCACAGUGGGAUUUGCUGGGCAGGAAGAGAUCGGGUAGUUUUGUUUAUAAUUGUGCUGUGAUGGGGUGCUGAAUAUUUGCAUCAUUGCGGCGCCAUGUGUACCAUUACAGUGUUGUAUCCUCGUGUUUAGAAAUGGGUUUCUGGAUGCACCGCAUCUUGCUGAUGGUGGUUUUUACGGCUUGCUGUGUCGUUCAUUGGCCAUGCAGUAUUAGCGCACAGGAUACUAUCGUCAAAGUAUUGGCAUUGGAAUUGUUUUCUUGAUCAUAUAUGUUAGGCCUUUGUCUGGCGGAGUUUGAUGCUUAUAUGAUCUUUGAAAUAUUUGAUGAAAUUAAAUAAAAGUUUUAGGAGUCUAUACAAGUUAUCUAAGGAAACUGUGAGUUGCUGAUCUGUUUUCAGGUGGCUGGCAUUUUCCUUUUUUAGUUUGAUAUAAAUAAUUG